UAAAUCCCCAGCAGCACAGGGAGUGCCGAGAGGGAAGUUGGCAUUUGAAAGGCUUGCAGUAUCAGCUAAUUGGUCUCAAACCUAAAUCAUAAAAAGACCUGUAAUUAUGCUGUUCAGAAUUAACACAGAAGACUGUUGGGUUGGUGGUGGUGGAGAGAAGGAGGGGCGACGAUGGGAGAAAAAGUCCAUUUUCUAAGUGAAUUUAUACUAUUAUAAGACCUGUCGCGGGCCCUGGCUCCCUUCCUUCAAUUGCCAACUUCAGAGAGAAGCUUACACAAUUGGAAAAGGAGGCUGGAGAUUCAUCUCCUCUUAACUGUAAAGGUGGCAAAUCUCUCUCAACUCUUUGGUUAGAAAAUACAGCUAAGCUCCACUAUGACACAACAUGCCCCUGGCAUUGGCUGAUCCAAGAGGAUAAGAGAUUUGUGGAGCAGACCUAGACCCAACCAGGAGCCUGGAGCCAAGACCAGCAGAGCCCAGCUGCCACAAUUGACCUGCAGUACUGCUGCUCCAGGCUGGCAUGUGGGAAUUCUCUCCUAACUCUUCAAGUUUUGCCAGCAUAGUGAAGCCGGCAUCUUCUCUAAUCUGAGACCCCCUGCUCCUUCAGGACCUGCCCCACUGGGGACAAGAAUGAACACGCUGUGUUGUAUGACAGUGAACCACCAAGAAAUACAAAGAAUGUGUGUUGAGGAGCCCAGAGUUAACACUGCAUAGAUACCAGGAUACUGUUGAGUAGAAGUGUUGAGAAUGGACUACUUGACUGAGGCUGGAUUUUAAGGAGGAAAGCAUCCAGUCUUUCACCCUUAGUUAUAGCUUUCCUCCUGCAUUCUUCUAUGAACAGACGACAGAAGAAGCUAGACAACAUCUUUAACACGCUGCCUGGAAAGCUCCUCAGCUAUAUAUCCAGUUCAUUAGAUCUCCCUUACAGAAGCAAGAAGUUGGACCCAGGCAAAUCUCUGAAUCCACCGAAGAUAGUUGAGACUUGGAUGUUAAAUGAGAUGUUCAGUGAAUCACAACUCUCCUACCACAGAUAUGGGCAUUUGAACACGUGCCCUUGCUAGCGUAGUGGGGAAAAAUGAGCUGUGUCUGUAUGAAUAAAAACCAGAUGGGGCUGUGGCUCUCUGCCUUCAGCGUGACUUGCUCCACACCAUCAAGACUCAUUGGCAUGCAUCUGCAUUCUGCUCCCUGCCCAUGGUCAAUUUUUCAAGAACUAAGUAUCAGUGAGAAGGUAAGCAGUACACAAUAAUGGGUGGGCAUUAAUUAAGUCCACACUGGGCAGACUCCAGCAGAACACAUGUCUAAUGGCUACACAGAGAGGACAGAAUAAAAAUCAAUCUGGUUAAUGUUAUUCUGGCCUCUGUCAAGGGAUGAGGAAAUGGACUUAUCAUGCUUUGAAAUGUAAUGCAAACUUGGAUAUCAGAAUGAUAGACAAGAUAAAAUACAGAGAGAACUGGUUUUCUCCCUCCUCCAAAGCUCCCUAGAAGAGCCAACUUCCCAUUUGACAGU